GUAGGUGGCAAGCGUUGUCCGGAAUUAUUGGGCGUAAAGCGCGCGCAGGCGGUUCUUUAAGUCUGAUGUGAAAGCCCACGGCUCAACCGUGGAGGGUCAUUGGAAACUGGAGAACUUGAGUACAGAAGAGGAAAGCGGAAUUCCACGUGUAGCGGUGAAAUGCGUAGAGAUGUGGAGGAACACCAGUGGCGAAGGCGGCUUUCUGGUCUGUAACUGACGCUGAGGCGCGAAAGCGUGGGGAGCAAACAGGAUUAGAUACCCUGGUAGUCCACGCCGUAAACGGUGAGUGCUAAGUGUAGGGGGUUUCCGCCCCCUUAGUGCUGCAGCUAACGCAUUAAGCACUCCGCCUGGGGAUACGGCCGCAAGGCUG
rnacentral:rRNA from 1 species